CACAAAUAAUCGUUAUAUUAUUACUAAAAUUGUUAUAUUGUUACAUUCUGCACCAUAUUGCAAGAACCCGAUAAUCAUAUUACUCCUUUUAGUUAAGUAUAUAUGCAUGUGCAUGUCUAAAUUUUCAGAUGUCUGUCAUGUGGUACAUCUCUAUAUAAAAUUGUGGUGUAAAUCCAACGCAACUGCGGUUCGAGUUUCUCUUCCCCACACGUACUCUUUAAAUGGUGUUAAGAGAGUAGAGUAUUUACUUAUAUUGUACUCUUUUUUGUCUACUGAGUUUCGGGCUUACAGUUUCAAAAACUGAUCAGCCAGCAAGGAAACAUCCACAUUUAUUGCCACAAUAAUUUUAACUUAUAAUCAGAGUAAAACGGUCGAGCAUUGUAUAGCGCCGGUGCGUCUUUAUUUUUUAAAGAAUGCGAAUAAACGAAUGUACGAAUAAGUGAAGAGCGGCCGUCCGGUUAUCGUUGAGAGAAAAAAGACGUGACUUAUUGUUGUUUCCGACAAAAAAUUAGUUAAUAUAACAGAAUAAAUAUGUAAAUUAAUGUUAAAAUAAAUUAUUGAGGUAAAUUUGCAACGCUGGUUUUAUAUUGUAAAUCUAUUUGCAUAUGUGUGGAAUCAUGUAAUUUCAUAAAUGACGUCGAAAUGAGCAUUUUAUAAGUGCAAAAAUAAAAAAAAUUUAAAAAAAUAGCAACCAGACACAUGUACAUAUGCCUGUAUACGCAUUUGUAUAUGUACAUACGUUACAUACAUGAAACUGUAUCGAAGUGAGUGACUUAUGCAAGUUAACGUUUAACUAUUAAACUUUUCUGUGUACAGAGGCUUCUCGCUAAAGCAUACCCUAUAGUACCACAUUGUGGAAAAGCAUGAUUUGCAAAGUAUAAAAAAAAGGAAGCCUACGAGCUUAUAUGUAAAUAGACAUACCAGUGUUACUAUUAAUUAUUGGUAUAUAUAAAUAUGAAUAAAUAAUUUAUAUAUAAAUGCAUAUGUACUUAUAUGGUUUGUAUGUAUUGCAUGUGUGCUUAUAUAAUUUGUUUUGGUAAAGUCCUCGAUAGUCUAAUCUGCCCUAUAUGUACAUACAUAUAUAUACAUAUAUAUAAAUAAAAUAUUUUCGAUGUGAAACUCUUUACUGAAUUCAACAACAAAACAAAAGAAUGAAUGAAGUGCUUUGAAAUAUAAAAGUUUUGGGAUAGUGGCAACCUUACAAGCAUAUCCCUCUUUAGUAGGUACUCUAGACGAACAUCUACUGUAAAUACAUUACAGUUUGUGCCAAAUCUCUAUUGUCGAAGGGGAAAGAGUGUGAAUAAUUAUGAGAGCCUUUCAGUAAAGAUAAAUAUUAAAUACUAACAUGUGAAAAGAAAUAUGCGAUAACGUUAUUAACAAGGCAAGAAAGUUUAUAGGCAGAUGUUAUAAGCCGAGAGCAGAAUGAGAAAAUGGUUAAAAUAGCUGUGAUAGCUGGCAAUGGAAAUAAUAAAUCGACACAACACACACGUAGAUAGUUAAUUUCGAGUCGUCGGGCAACAAAAGUAUUAAUUGGAGUAUCAAAAGCUGCGUGAACAUAAUCAAAUCAGCUAUAUAAUCUGUUUACAAACCUACAAUCUAUACAAAAAUCAGCUUAAAGGCCGGAGGUUAUUUAUAUCAUUGUAAAAAUGAGCUCCACUAAAGAAAUGAAAAACGGCACGAAGACGCAAAAGAAAGCGAUUAAGGCUAACAAAAAACAACAACUGAAACAACAGCAACAUCAACAACAACUACAAUAUCAACAGAAUUCAUCAGUUGCGACAACGGCAACAACAUUAGCGCCUCACCCUGCCGCUCAAUACAGUGUAAAUAAGAUAACGGGAAAAACAAUCAAGAUGACAGUGCCUAAUACUAAUAAUAAUAAUAACAACAGCAUUGUUAAAAACAACAACAACAUUAAUCAAAAGCUUCCCGAUGCUGCAGCACGUGCAGCGAACGCAACACCCUCCGCUAUGCAACAACCCGUGGGCUCCAUUUUACCUGGAUAUGAAAAUGCUACGAAAUUCGAACGAUCGAACAGUUUUUCAUUACGUGGCAAACUAUCUAAAUUGAUCAAUUCAAUUACGGGCAGUAAAGAAAAUCUUAAUAAAAUAGAUGAUGAGAAUGCAAUUCCGUACAAGUUCACACGCAGUCGCUCAAUGAUACUAUUGCGGCGAUCGAAUCGUCGUAGUUUAAUUGAACCCCAAUUAGAACAACUAUCUGAGGAGGUUGAUCCAACUUCACCGUCAUCACCUCGUAAAAACUCUGUUGAUAUAAGCGGGCAACCAUUUGCUGCACCAUCAUCAUCCAAUAUAUCGGAGGUAAAUAUGACUUUGGAUAAGAGUGGCACAACUACAAUGAUUACACCUCAACGACAGAACUCACAGCCAUUGACCUCAACUCCGGUUGAAGAGGGUAGUAAUAGUACAGCUUUACAGCGAAAGCCAUCAUGCCUAUCUCUGGCACCUGGUGAAGGAAAUGGUGUGCCAUUCAAUCCAAUAGCGAAUUUUCAGCGACGCCGUUCCAAUACAUUAUUAGCAUCUUUCAAGAGCACCAUUGCAACAAUAACCGGUGAAAAGAAGAAGGAGAAACUUAAUCCGAAGUGGAGUGCGUCCCUACAAUCCUUGCAAGCUAUAGACAAUAUGGUAAGCUAUGAGAAUAUGUCUUUCAUCGAUUACGAUAAGUUCAAUGGAUAUGAAAAACAACUAGAAAAACAGCUUUCAACAUUAAGUUUGCGCACCGAACAGAAUCUACCUAUUACACCAAUCAGUAGUGUCACAACCCCUUUAAACAAUAAUAGAUCUCCUAAUGCUCAGGUGACGGUAGUGCGUCGUCGUAAACCGAGUACCGCUCGUCAAUUGGCAGACCGGCGUUGCCAUUCGCGUGGUAGCUUUAAUUUCGACACCGAUUUCGAACACAAUUUGGACAAACCGCGCAACGUGUAUCGUGAUAGUUUAGAUUCUCGAAAACUGGAACGGCUGAACGAUUUUUCUCGCAACUCUUUUAUAUUGGAUAAAGAAAUUGUGGAUUGGUUGAAUUUGGAAGACGGUUGCCUAAGAAAGCAACGCAGAGAAAAGAGUAAGUGCCAAAUGAAUGUGGACACCGUGGACUCGUCAACUGUUCCACAGUUGCUUAGAAUUAAAAGCAUUGAAAUACAAAAUCAACAAAAAAAAUCGUGAAGACAUUUUCGAAGCAGUGUAAAACUCCGGAUUAACAAAAUCAAAAUAACAAACAAUAAGUAAUCAAAGAAUAUCUUCAAUGAUGUUUGAUAUAACUAAAUCAAAAUAUAGGGGAAAAAUGUUAAACGCUUAUUUAUAUUUAGAUUAGAAUAUAACCUACGUCUACAUUAAUUCGACGUUAAGGAGAAGCGAACUUUGUGCAAUGAGUAUCUACAUACUAGCGUUCCAAUGACGGAAUUCGACGGUAGGAACUCACAAAUUAUUUUAGGAUAUUAUGUAAUCGGAGAAAUUAUGAAGAAGCAUCAGAGCAUGAUGUGAAAAACAACAGCAAAUUUUCUCCACAUCGUUGAACAAUUCACUAACACAAAUAUAAAGAUAUGAACAAGCAUUCAAUAUAAACAAAAAGGAACAAGUUCAAUUGCAUAUAACCCGCCAGAGGCAUUCUCAGCGAAAUGAAUUGAUUCGCUCCACAGAAAGUGUUGGCAAUACAUUUUCGGUCAAAUUGAGCAAAGUUAGUUCAAUAAAAAAAAAAUAAGUUCUGUACGAUUCCAAGUGCAAAAACUAGGACAUCUUCAACAGUAACCACCGCAGUUGAAGUUGGCGAUAGCGAUGUUCAGUGCAUGAGGGACGACAGCGUAGACGUAAUGGGCGGUGGAUUCACUUCCGCAAUAGCAAUCGUACAUUUGCAGCAACAACUAAACGUUGUUAAAAACGAAAUAGACGUCAUUGCAGUGCCAAUAGUAGGCGAAAACAACAAACCAAUUUCCGUGGAAAGAAAAAUUAAAAUAUCAACGCAAAUGCAGGAAAAAUUGUUGGACAAUAUACAAACGGAAAAUGACGACCAAAAAAUUGAAAAGACCUUCAAUAUAAAUAACACAAAGAAGGAAAACAAACCAUCUACAGCAACAGUUAGAAGCACAAAUACCCGUCCAAGUUCGUCAGGAAAAAAUAAGGGUUCCAAAGAAACAUGUGGAAAAUUUGCGGAGAAGUUGAGACGUUCAUUUCGACGCGGUGAACAUAAAUCACUUGAAAUCAAACCACCUGAACAUAGAUUAGAGAGCCUUGCUGGUGCGAAUCACAGAGAUAAACAGUACUCUCCAGGCGAAAAAAAUAGCAGCUGCAAUAGCCUUACUGACAGUGGGGGCGGAAAUAGUUUUCACUUAAAACCCUUCGGCAUUAGAUCAUUGCCCCCACUACAACGCAAUUCCCAUUCUAUAUUCUCUUUUAGUCAUCUGCCUAGCCUGGGGGUCGGCGGUAGUUUAGACUUGGGUGGCGGCAGUAAAAGCAGUGUGUACAGUACGGCUGGUGGAGGACAUAUCAAUCCGGCGCUACUUUUGGACAGUCCUGACGCAGACACACCACCCGAGUAUGCAUAUCAUCACCUAAGUAGUGUCGCAACGACAAACUCGAGUACCUCUUUGGAAAGUAACUUUGGCGACAUCGACGAACGCACUUCGUCAUUAACCAGCAUCAGCUAUUGGGCGUGGCAUCAAUCUAACUCCUCUAUGGGUGGCGAGGUAAGCACUAACAGCAACAAUGGUGUGUCAGCGGCAAAUAAUUCCGGACGAACAAUGGACGAUGUUGGUUUAACAGCGAAACAGCAUAAACAAAAGCAAAAGCUAAAAUCACAAAGCAGUAGUAAAAGUGAUAUUCACCAGCAACAAGCAAGUCGUAGUUGCAGCAUUACCAGCGAGAGCAGUUCAACGAAACUCACGCGUCUACAAAAUCUUCUUUUUAAAUCAAGUAAUGAAAGCACAAAAAGUAUUCAUGCGCACUCCAAUGAGGGAUUCACGGCUUCGUCACACAAUUCUUCUUCGGGUGAAUGGGAGAAUUUGGGCUUUUCAAACAUUAGCGGUAGUUGUAGUCAUGUAGCCGCCGAUUUUUAUGUCGGUAGUUUUCCAGAAGAGUCCGAUGACAUUGAGUGCGCGUUUACAGUAGCACAACCGGCAGAUAAUAAUACAGUUACCACGUCAAAGCCAUUAUUAAAACGUGCUGACUCAAGUGAAACAGCCGGAUCGUAUUAUCAAUAUACUUUAACCUCACCGAAUAAUCCCUUUUUACCCGAAAUCAUUGCCCGUACCUAUCAUAGCGUCUAUGAUGAGGAGAACAAAACGCUCGAGGAUAAUGUGACCAAUGUUAAGUGUGGUCCGGGAGGAGACUUGAGUGGGGUAGAAAUGGAUGGUAGUGGCUCGCAUUCGGCUCAAUUACCAACGCCUGUAUAUAGUCGAGCGGGUUCGCAAGAGUCCACACAUAGUGAUAGCGCUAUCUCAGCAACAGCCAUAGCGAAAAAUUCUGCUAAUGUACAGCUACCUUCUAGUCCUAUUAACAGUUCAUCAUCAACACCGGGGCGACAGCGUCGAAAGCUGUUCAUCUUGAAUUCGCCUACACGACACUUGCUACAUCAACAGUCAACUCACAAAGCACAACCGCAAGUUACUACACCAGAUACCUUCCUCCGAAAAUCUACACCAUGUACUUCCGCUUCCGAUAGCAAUGUUAUAAAGAGCCUUAAUCCCUUUCUUCCAAUUGCGAAUACUGUUGAAGGUAACAGCAAGAAGAACACUAUCACAACGACCACUUCAACGAUGACAAAAACACCAGCCGCUGCAAUAUAUAGCGCAACGAAGCGUGCGCCACUAAAGCAAUCAGCCGUAACAUCUCCAAUCACAAUGCCGCAGGAUUUGAAUACAAAACGCGAGGAAUUCUUGCGUGCUACCAUGAAGAUUUGCUUAGUAGUCUCUCCGCCAAAUAGUAAAUUGCAGUUGAAAUCUAAAAGCCUAACACACUUGGAUGGUCUCGACCCCACGGCAGCAUGUCAUCGUGGCAUUCCCGUUAGCAUAACACCGAAUAUGAGCCGGAGCGAAGUUUGCACAAAUACGGCCACUUCAACAAUUCAAACCUCUGAACAGCUCAAUCCAGAUCAAUAUCCAGCUGUGUUGAACUCUUCUUCAACGACAGCGAAAAUAACUAGUGAAGAGACAUCAACUCCAACAGGCACCAAGUCUGUGACGAGUUAUAAGAAAAAAUCUCCAUUUCUACAGCGUAAAAAGCCACUGCUAACACGCAGUGAGGUAACGAGUUCGGAAUACUUUUCUGUGAGUUUUUGUACAGACCAAGGUGGUGUAGAGGAGGAAUUCAUACCAGCGACCAAAGGCGUAACUUUGUAUUCCGCGCUAAGUCAAGCGUUGAAAAGACGCAAUUUAACAUUUUCACAAAUCGCCAUCACUGAUAAUAAUCCACCCAGUAGUCUUUUAGAAACUGGGUACUCACCAUUAGCUAGUUCUUUGGAUGAAAAUACUGAUAUAGAAAAUUUGGCUGGACAUCAUUUGACUGUAACUGAAUGCGAUGGUAGUCGAAAAAUCUUACAAAAGGCCGCAUCAUUUGGUUCUCGCACACGUCCACCGCGAUUGCUCUCCUCCGCCUCUACGGAGGAGACUAGCGAAGCCGCUGUUCCAGGAAAACAACUCAAACAACGCUGGUCCGGUUUGUUCGGUAUUAAAAAUCCGCAGCAAAGUCAAUUAUGUGAAUUGCUUAAUAGUUACGCAAAGAGUGGUGUACCACAAAAGAGAGCAUCAGUAAAUUUCGAUCAUCCGGAUUUUGACGCGGCCUUAGAGUAUUUGGACAAUAUGCACAAGUCAUGGAAGGAUAUUGUCGAUAGCACAGCCAUGAAUGACAGCGAAAUGAGAAUACAAACUGCAAUUUGGGAAUUAGUUACCACCGAAGUAUAUUACAUUCACGCACUCCAAACAGUAACAGAUCUCUUUUUGGCAUGUUUAGAAGCUGUGCAAUUAGAGCGACUGCUUACCGAUGUAGAUCAACAUCGACUAUUUUCGAAUGUACGGGAUAUAUGUGAAGCAAAUCUUAAGUUCUGGACACUUUAUCUCUACCCCAUGGUGGCGCACAGUGUCGCUACUGGUGAACCUUUACGUGUUACCUUCUUCCACCAGGGUUUUGUUGCUUUCGCCUCAAUAUUCGCACCAUACAAAAAGUAUUGUGCAGAACAGAGUACUUGCCAGUUCUAUUGCAAGGAGCUUAAUCAAAACAAUCCACUUUUUACAUCUUAUUUGGCCUGGUGUGAGUCGCAAAAGCUAUGUAACCGGCUGCGUUUGGCCGACAUUUUGGUGCGACCGAUGCAACGAUUGACCAAGUACAGUCUCCUGUUGACAGCGAUCAAGAAGCACAUGUUAGAUAUGGAGCAGAUCGAGUCAGUCGAUUCAAUGAUCCACUCAGUGGAGCACUUCGUGUUUAGUGUGAAUAACCACUUGACAACGCGUCAGGAAAAUGAACGUUUAAAAGGUGUUAUGGCGCGCAUUGAAUCCUAUGAUGUAGUGGACACCAACAACGAGCAUCUAGACAAAAUGAUAAAGCAAUAUAGUAAAAUGUUUGACUUGUGCGCUCCAAUGAAAGGAUGUCCUGCUCAUCAAGUACGCCAUCUCUUUAUGGAAGGCGACCAUAAAUUCAAAGACAACCUUGGCAAGACCGAUGUUCAUUGUUUUUUGUUGACGGAUAUGCUGCUUGUCUGCAAAGCGAUCGCGAAACGUGGUCUCGGUUCGCUCAAAGUGAUUCGUCAACCGUACUUAACCGAUAGACUUGUUGUACAACAAAGCAAUAAUAUUUUAAAUUGUAUCUACCUCAAUGAAUUUCAAGUGGUCGUUACUGCAUUCACUCUACAAUGUUCAGAGGCAAAAAAUUGGUGUGAGUCCAUAAAGCGCGCUAAAAUGAUUUACACAAGACUGAAACAAGGUACCGGCAAUUGGGACAAUUUCCGUUUGGGUGGAGGGAGUGGUGUAAGUGGCAAUACAGUGGAUGCACUAGGAGUAAAAAAAUCGCCAAUGAACUCGUCAAUAUGCAGUCAUGUAUCCAGCGCGAAUAAUAGUCACAGCGGCUCAGUCGAGUGGAAUGAUUCGCGUAAUAUAUCUGUGGACUUUGAAAAGACCAAUUCAUUAUCUAGUGAUGAUGGUUCUAUGAGCAAAAAUUUGCAAUCCGGUCCUCUCAAACUCAAAGUUAACACUAUAACGGCGAAUACACUUUCCGUACAGCCACUUAAUCACCUGGGACAAAGUCUGCCGAAUCUAAACCUGAACCAAAGCCAUACUUUUUGAGAGAUUUUCAUAUGAAUUUGAAAGAAUAUCUUUAUUGACUACCGCGAACGGUGAAUUAACAACUCGUCUCUCUCUUUGCCCUCCAUAAAGGUAUUACUUUGUCUUUAAAGGAUUGGGCAGCCUUUUUAAUGUAAUCUAACAUAGCCUAUAUCUUUAGACAUCGUUAAAUGUAAAUCAUCUUCUGAAAUUUUUUAGCAAUAAGUGUUUUCUAAAUAAAUUCAUAUUUUUUUAUACAAACGUUUCUUCAAAGGAUUUGAAUAAUUUUGCUACUUUCACAUUGAAGCAAUUUUGCUGGUAAUAAACUGUCAUAACGGACAAAUAAGUUAGUUGUCCUGAUUUUUACUAGACCUCUGAGAGAGAUUAUUAAACUUAAUUUAACAUUUCUGCUGUUUUCUGCUCUUUCCUGCUGUUAAAGAAAGUUUGUGUACCAGUUUUUUUAAUACGAUCUAUCUAGAAAUGUAACGGCAAAGAUUUAUAUAUUUGUGUGUAGGUAGGUAUAAAAGUACGGAAAACAUUUUUCUCAUUGAUAUUUGGAUGUCGCAAUAUUUUAGCAUUUGUUAAAUUUGUAUUAUAUUUUUAUAAUUUUUUUUUUUGCUUAUUUGCUUCUUCGCUUGCUUUAUUUUUAUUUACGUGGCAUUUCAUCGGUUCGCUUCACCAUACUCAAUGCUCAACUUUGUUUUCUACGGAAUUGGAAUUAAGUACCAUCGACAGUAACCUAUAUUAUACUUAUAGUAAUAAUACACUGCUGGUACCUGGCACAACAACAAGCCAUUCGGGAAAUUUGUUACUUUCGCCUAGUCAUAGAGGAAUUUCUUAUCCACCACCUAGUCCAACAAGAGUACCACUUCGUCGCGGCAUGGCUUUUUCUACUUCCACCAAAAAUCCGCCACUAGUCAAAACUCGCAAUAUUACAUCACAGAAUAGCAUUAACUGGUCUCAACCGCAAACUACAUCGGCAAGCUUACAACAGCGACACAAAGUACCAAUUAAUAGCACUGUAGCGAGUAACGCAACGAACUCCAUGCUGUCAUCACCUCUUGGUGGAGUGCAGCUUACUCAAAAUAAAUGUCAUGGCACUAACGAAAGCACAACCAGUGUAAAACCUGAAAUAAUGGCAAUUCAACUGUCCAAUGAUAAUUUGACAGAUGGUACUUGCCAACAGCAUCAGCAUCCUCAACAAAUGUCUACCUGCAAUGAAACCGAUGUUUGACUUGUUUGCAAUCAAAUGGCAACAAAAGCAGUCAUUACAGUAUCAAUUUAAUGUAUGAAAAAUUGGCAACAAAAAACUGUUGCUGGCGCGGCUAUGCAGCAGGGGAGAAAUUGAAAUAUACUCUUGCUGGCUUUAUUUCAAGCACGUAGAGACAUGUAGAGAUGUGCAUAUAUGCUUAUAAAGGAACAUUAGUGGCAUUAAUUGAGUUAUCGUAAAUACAAACUACCAUAUUCAGUUGAUUCAUGUAUGUAUGUAGUAUUUUAUAAAUUAUGAAGCGUGCGGAAGGAUCAUAAGGCUUACAUGCGUACAAACCAAAAACUAAAUAUAUAUAAAAUAAACGAUCACAUGCUUGUUAAUGAAGCCUUUGUAUACAAAACAAAUACUGUAGAAAACAUGUUGUAUAUUAUAUUACUUUUGACAAAAAGCUGCAAAAUUUUAAUAAAUAAUAUGAAAGCAAAUAGGGAUUAGUAAAAUACUAGGGAAUAGUUAUUAGUACAUGCAUAUGUAGUGGAUAUCAAUUUGUAUUCAAAUCAAAUAUAAUAUAUACUACAAUAAUAAUAAUUUACAAGUAAUGUAGCAAUAGUUUCAAGAAAAUCAGAACAAAUAAAUAGAAUCUAAAAAGCAAAGCAAAAAUAUUUAAAGAAAGUAUAUAACAAACAUACAAACAUAUUUUAUCAACAAAAAGUAUGCAACGAUUUUUUAUAUUUUAAAUUUAAAAAUAUGUAAGUUCAUAACAUUUCCUUAAAUCAAUAGGAGGAAAUAUGUAGCGAAGUAAGCACCAUCAUAUGUCAACAAAUGUACAAGUGUACAUACAUAUAUAGUACGUGUAUCCACAAAAAUGUGGUUAUUUAGAAUUUGUUGUAGUGCUGUUAAUAAAUAGUUAAUUAAGCUAUAGUAUAAAUACAACAAUAUAUAGAAAUGGCAUUAAAAGCCUAAAUAACGAACUUGUACUUAUAGAAAGUCUCCUUUCACUUGUGUCCUUCCACAAGCCUACAGCUGUGAACAUAGAACUAUAUUCAGUGUAUUUUAUAUAUAUUUUUUACAAUCAGUAAUACCUUAUGAUGUUUAAAUAGGCGUGCAAUUUUAUUGUAAAUAAAUUUGUAGUUUAUCUAAUGAAACUGUUGGUAUUCUGAAUCCAAGUAGCCAUUAGAGUUUGUAUUAUAUUGCAAGAAAAUUAUUCUAAUUGCUAGCAUUCAUAUAACUAGUAUAUAUUAUACAACAAAUAACUGUUAUAACCAAACUGUAUUAGAAAGUAAAAAAAACUUAUUAAAAAAGGGAAAUUUUAUGUUAAACCUAGUAUUUAGUUAUGUAUAAAGGAAGCAGCAUUGACCAAAGCAACAAUUAUAGAUAUAAAUAAGUUGUAGCUUUGGCCAAUGACAAAUUGGCAACAAUACGAAAUAUAUAUAUUCACAAUAUAUAUAUAUAUAAAUUCACAAUAAUGUACAUACAUAUGUUAUUAAAAACUGUGAUUCCCUAAUCAUUGAAAAUACAUUAAUCACAAGCAA